rnacentral:sRNA from 1 species
AUGAAGUGGAUGUGGGCGUCGAUGCCGCCGGCGGUGACGAUCAUGCCCUCGCCGGCGAUGGCCUCGGUGCCGGGGCCGAUCAGGAUAUCCACACCGGCUUGCGUGUCCGGGUUGCCGGCCUUGCCGAUGCCGGCGAUGCGCCCGCCCUUGAUGCCGAUGUCCGCCUUGACGAUGCCCCAGUGGUCCAGGAUCAGCGCAUUGGUGAUCACGCUGUCCACCACUUCGUCCGCCUGCCGCUGGCACUGUCCCAUGCCGUCGCG